rnacentral:rRNA from 1 species
UACAGAGGGGGCAAGCGUUGUUCGGAAUUACUGGGCGUAAAGGGCGCGUAGGCGGCCUUCUAAGUCGAACGUGAAAUCCCUGGGCUCAACCCAGGAACUGCGUCCGAUACUGGGAGGCUUGAAUCCGGGAGAGGGAUGCGGAAUUCCAGGUGUAGCGGUGAAAUGCGUAGAUAUCUGGAGGAACACCGAUGGCGAAGGCAAUCCCCUGGGCCUGCACUGACGCUCAUGCACGAAAGCGUGGGGAGCAAACAGG